AUACUUACCUGAUAGGAGAUAUACCGCGAUCAGUUAAUUAAGGCGGUAUUCUCAGGGCGAGGCCUACCCAUUGCACUACAGGAAGGAGGUUGAGCCUUGCGAUUUCCCCAAAUGUGGGAAAGUCGACCGGGAAAUUUGUAUAAUGCAGGAGACAAUAGACUGCCUGG
ensembl:snRNA U1 U1 spliceosomal RNA